rnacentral:pre_miRNA from 1 species
AGAAGUUAUCUGUGUUUCUUCACCUUAUUUAUGAUGGAAAAUAUGGGUGCACUUCUAU